rnacentral:lncRNA from 1 species
ACACUGGCAAGAAACAAGAAUCAAAUUCUAAAACUUCACUUGUUCUUUGAAUGCUCUACAUAUGAACCAUUAUUUAGUCCAGACUCCAGAGAAAGAGUGUUACAUUCUCCCCUGUUUUACACAAGAAAAGAAAAACCCUUCAAUUCAUCUAGAACUUUCCUUCCUCACCUCACCUCACCUCACCCUCCUUGUCUCAGAUAUAAAUAAAACCAACCCAAACAACUUCUCCUCUCCAUAUUUCCUUUCACUCAAAGCACAGAGAAAGAAACAGAACAACAUAACAAACAAUGAAACAACUUUUGUGUCUUACUGAGAAGGAAGAUAUACAUUCCUAAGCCAACCUCACAUCCAGCACCAAUUCCACAUCCAAACUGUAUCCCAGGUAUUCCAGGACCCAAACCUGCACCUGGAGUGGGAAAGGUUACCUUGUCAGCAUGCAAAAUAUUCAUUCAGUAUAUAAUAAAAUUAACAGUAAGAACUGGAAUAACAAUAAAACCUUAUAUUUUUAUGCAGUUGCUAAAUCUAAUACUGUAAUAUAAGACCAACAGCCACUGGCACAUACGGUUUAUGCAUCUAAGACACUAACAAGGUUGUUAGACUUGUCUGUGUAAAACCAGUAGACUGCAAUUCAUAGUCCAAUGUUAAUAAUGAAAUAAGAAUGAUGAGCAUAAAUGCAUACAGUCACGAGUAAAAUGUAUGACCUAGCUAGCAUGCCAGGAUUAACAGCUCAUGGAUCAAACAUGUUUAUUGUUAAAUUGGUAUUUUUUUUAAUGAAAUCUAUUCAGAUUUCCUAGUACUAUUUCAAGCAUGUAUAGUAAGGCUAUAAUACAGUAGUUGCAUAUGAAUUGAAUAGAAGUUACUUCAAAAUAUAACACAAACCUUAGUUUUCGCCGACUCCAUCCACCAUGGUACCAUUACCAUCUCCGAUUUCAUGGUUGUUUAAGCUUAUAACAUCCUCACACAACUCAUCCACAUCAAGUUCUAUUUUUCUAUCUAAUCUUGGCUCUUCCAAGUACAAUUCCAGUUGAGUCUUCUUAUUGGUCAUUGAAAAUUCUUCCGCAUCAAAGGUAUCAAAAUCCUUAGCAAUAACAAAAGAAAGAAUGCUUGUUAUAUUACAAAAUAAUUAAAGAUUUGUAAACUGAAAAAAUAUGAUCAUAAAAUAAAAAUUUACCUCCAAUACAACAUCCAUAGAGUUUUGAGAACUCAGAAUAUCAGAGGAAACAUCCGUCGCCUGAUUUUUUGAAGUGCUACCAAUAGACUCAGAAGAAUUUUGUUUGUAUUGGUCAAAGAGGGAAAACAACUUCUCGCGAACUUCUCUAAACUGAGCAGAAUCCGCACAAUAAAGUCUAGUGUAGCUCCAACUCACAAAAUGCAAUUUAUAUCGGGGAUCAAAGACCACAGCAAUAACAAGAGUCACAGAGUAUGUGGACCAAUAUUUUUCAAAUUUUAUAUUCAUUUCCUCUACCAUCUCACGCAUAACUGUAUCUCUUUCUUGUAAGGCUUUGGUAAUAGUAUCUUGCACCAAAAACACUUGAGGAAAGUAUAAAUUUGAAGUUGGGUAUUGACUUCCAGAAAAUAGACAAGUCACCUUGUAAAAUGCACCCAAAAACUUGCAAAUUUUUGUUACUGUUUUCCAUUCAGUAUCAGUAGGACAAUAAUUGUAAUUCAAAUCACUCCUCAUUAAUUGCAUAAAAGCUCGACGAUAGUAAAGUGCACUUUCAAGCAUCAUGAAUGUCGAGUUCUAACGAGUAGGAACAUCUUGUCUCAAAGCUCUCAUCGGUAACAAAGAAACAAGGUUGAUACACUCUCUAAAUUUUUGCUUCCUAUGUUGUGAACCUUUUAAGUACUUUACACUUUCCCUGAUCUUAAUAACUGAAUCAUCCACUUUUCUUAAUCCGUCUUGAACAAUCAGGUUAAUUAUGUGAGCACAACAACGAACAUGGAAAAACAUACCAUCACAAAGAAGAGCAUUUUUCAAGUGAAGCUGAUCUUUCAAUAGAUUAACACAUACAUCAUUAGCACUUGCAUUAUCCAAAGUCAAAGAAAAUAAUUUCUCUUCAAUUCCCCACUCAUUCAACAUUUUGUAAACCUUUUCAGAUAAAGCAAUUCCUGUGUGUGGAGUGGGCAUGAAUGAAAAAUUUAGGACAACCUUUCGAAGCUUCCAAUCACAAUCAACAAAGUGUGCAGUAAGUGAAAUAUAUCCAUCUGUGCUAAUAGAUGUCCAUAAAUCUGAUGUUAAACUAAUUCUUCCAGAAAUAGUAUGCAAUAAUUCUCUUAUCCUCAUUUUUUCCCUCUUGUAUAUCUUGAGAAUAUAAUCUUUAGCAGUGUUUCUACUGACCAAAGUAAUACCUUCAUGUAUAUAUCUCAAUGCAUCUCUAAUUCCCUCAUACUCAACAAAUUGAAAAGGUAAAUCAUGUCUAAUGAUUGCUAGCAUUAUCUUCUCUCGAAAAACACAAAUAUCAAAAUUGGCUCUCAUUGUCGAUGGAGAUUUAGAUUGUAACAAAGAACAUCUUUUCAUGUGUCGAAGCAUAUUACUUGUACCAUUGAUAGCUUUACUUUGCAAAACCUUCCCACAUCUACGACAUUUUGCCCUUGGUAUCUUAUCCAUAGCAAGAGGUAAUUCAAAAAAUAAAUCCCAAACUUUAGAAUGUUUACGACUACACGCUGUCUUUGAAGGAUUAGAGCAUUGAGUAUCAACUUGUGUUGCUCGAGUUUCUCCAACGCUAUGAGCAAUUUCCAUGCUUGAUUCUUGUAGGUUAUUUGGUUCCUCAACAUCAACAUCACAAGAUUCCAUCUGUAAAAUGGAGAAAUCAAAUAUUUCAUCAAUCUUAUGGAAAAACAGAAUUAACAAAGUCUUCAGUGAUAAAGAGGCUAGAGAAUGUACUUUAUUCUCACUAUCCACCUGUCGAAUCUAGCUUCUAAGAAAAUUAUUGUGUAUAUAAGUCAUCGAUCGAUCAUUUCCCUCUUAUUAUUGUUAUUGUUAUUAUUAGUGUUAUUUACUAUUACUAAAUUAUUAGUUAAUUAUACUAAUAACAAUAUGUAGUAUGUAGUUAUGUACUAUUAAUGGUGGGUUGGAAUGUUUGCUCAGUCUAAACCAAGACCAAAGAAAGGUAUGAAAGUCGAUCUUUAUCUGAGAAACUUGUUAGUGCCAUACAUUUUGGGGCUAAAAGAAUAAAUGCAUGUUAAUGACAUUGCCAUCAAAAAAUCAUGCUUCCUUGUGCAUCCAUAGUGCAUGCAUAUGUACUUUGAAGUUUGAACUUGUGAAGAACUUCACUUUGACUGUUAGCUGCAGCUACAGGGCAUUGGCAGCAAUUAGUCUACCAGUUAAUCACCCAUCAUCUUCUGGACUCAGAAAUCAGAAGUACUGUACCAAAGCAACUCGCAAAAGUCGCAAGCGAGGCCCAGUUGAUUUUUGGGCCUACUCUUAGGCUGUCAGAGUGUCAUUUUGUACCAAGUUUUCAUCCAAUGAAAAAAAAUUGGGUGUAUUACUUUGGCUGAAAGAUGUUGAAAGACUCAAAGGAAAGGUGGAAAGCUUAGAACAAUUGCUUGUAAAGAACAGUUCUACAUGCUUCUAUUUCUUCUACAAGUUCAAACUCAAAGCACCCUAAGCCUGUGAUUGAAGUGUUCAAAGAAGUGGAUCAACUUCACGAAACUAGUCAAUUUCCAGAUGGACUACUUCUUCAGCAGUCCGUUGGUAGAGCGGAAUUGGUGCCUAUACCAGAAACAGGUAACAUGUUUGUUAAUGAGAAGAUAUGGGAUUCUUUGAUGGACUACAGAAUCGGGAAGAUUGGUAUUUAUGGAAUGGCAGGUGUGGGCAAGACGACAUGCAUAGCAUGGAUCAACAAUCAGCUUGUGACAAAGGAGAAUUACUUUGAUAUAAUCAUCUGGGUUUUCGUUUCAACGGACUUUAGCUUAAAGCGAAUCCAGGACAACAUUGCUCAGCGUUUGGGGUUAAAUCUGUCGAUGUAUGAAGAUGAAGAGAUACGAGCUGCCCACUUACGUGAGAGACUAAAGCAAGCCAAGCAGUAUCUCAUAAUUUUUGAUGAUGUGUGGGAACCAAUACCUUUGGAGAAGGUGGGGAUUCAUGAACCCAACAGAGAGAAUGGCUGCAAGAUUGUUCUGACAACGCGCUCAUUGGAGAUAUGUCAGAAGAUGGAAACACACAAGAAUAUCAAAGUUGAAGUAUUGUCCAAAAAGGAGGCAUGGGCCUUAUUUGAAAACUUAUAUACGAAAACUUUGCCCACCCUUCCCUGACUCAACAAGUUGGGUGUAGUAGCCCUUGAUUACAAGCUCGUAGAGGCGCUCUGAAUCAGAACUUCAGAAGAGAAUUGAAUCCCAUUUGAACAGCUAGCAAGUUCUAAUCCUUUGAGAAUGGCAGACAUCUCAAUGAAGAGUAUUGAUGGGCUAAGCUAAGCAAUCUUAACCAUCUACUGUAGUACUAUUCAACUCCAAAGAUACAUACAGCAGAAAUGUCAUGACAGUGUAAAGGGAAUUAUACCAUCAAAAGUCAAAACCCCAAAUUCAAACUGUUUACACCAUAAACAUCUAAAACUAAAAAAUCCCAAAUCCUAUAAUUUACUAAACAAUCCAUUAAAUCCCUAAAUUAAUCAAACCCACAUCUUAAAAUUAAAAGUAAACAAAAAGUUCAUCAAUAAAAUUGAUAAUAAAUACUUACCGUAACAGUAGUGGCAGUAGUAAUAGUUGUUGAUGGUGGUGAUGGUGGUGGUGGACUAGCAGGAAAUAACUUUUAAUGACGGUGGUAGUAGUUGUUUCAUGAUCUUGUUUAGUGGAAGAAGAAGAUAAAGAUGAGUUGAAGGAGAAGAAGAUAAAGAUGAGUUGAAGGAGAAGAAGAUAAAGAUGAGUUGAAGGAGAAGAAGAUGAAGAUGAAUGAAGAAGGAGAAGGGAAAGGGGUUUUUUCUUCGAAGAGAAGAAGUUGGUGGCGGGUUGUGUCGGGUGAAAUUAAGUUGAUAAGUUAAACACAAACACGAC